rnacentral:rRNA from 1 species
CCUACGGGAGGCAGCAGUGGGGAAUUUUGCGCAAUGGGGGAAACCCUGACGCAGCAACGCCGCGUGAAGGAUGAAGUCCUUCGGGACGUAAACUCCUUUCGAUCGGGACGAUUAUGACGGUACCGGAAGAAGAAGCCCCGGCUAACUUCGUGCCAGCAGCCGCGGUAAU